rnacentral:rRNA from 1 species
CGCGGGCGGCGGCGCGCUAUACAGCGAAGGCGGCGCGGCCGCGCUCGCCGCGUUCGCCGAGCGCCACGGCAUCCCGGUCGGCGAGACGCAGGCCGGCAAGAGCGCACUGCCGUGGGACCACCCGCUGAACGCCGGCGCGAUCGGCGUGACGGGCUCGCCCGCGGCGAACGCGCUCGCGCACGAUGCCGAUUGCGUGAUCGCGGUCGGCACGCGGCUGCAGGAUUUCACGACCGGCUCGAACACACUGUUCGCGCGCGCACGCGUCAUCGGCAUCAACGCGAACGCGUUCGAUGCGCUCAAGCAUCGCGCGACGAUCGUGCAGGCGGACGCGCGGCUCGCGCUCGAGGCGCUCGGCGCGCGCCUCGAAGGCUGGCGCGCCGACGCCGCGUGGACGGCGCGCGCGCACGCGCGCGCGAACGCAUGGCGCGACGCCGUCGCGGCCGUCACGCAUGCGCCGCCGCGCGCGCGGGCGCUGCCGUACGACGCCGACGUGAUCGGCGCCGUGCAGCGCUCGGCGCCCGAUUCGGCCGCGCGCGACAUCGCCGUGUGCGCGGCGGGCACGCUGCCCGCCGAGCUGCACAAGCUGUGGCGCGCGGCGGCGCCGGGCGGCUAUCACGUCGAAUACGGCUAUUCGUGCAUGGGCUACGAGAUCGCGGGCGGGCUCGGCGCGAAGCUCGCGAAGCCCGAGCGCGAGGUGAUCGUGAUGGUCGGCGACGGCAGCUAUCUGAUGAUGAACAGCGAGAUCGCGACGUCGGUGAUGCUCGGCGCGAAGCUGAUCGUCGUGGUGCUCGACAACCGCGGCUACGGCUGCAUCAACCGGCUGCAGCAGGCGUGCGGCGGCGCGCCGUUCAACAACCUGUUCGACGACUGCGUGCAAGGCCCGCUCGGCGCGCCGCGCAUCGAUUUCGCCGCGCACGCGCGCGCGCUCGGCGCGCGCGCGGAGCACGUCGCCGAUAUCGCCGCGCUCGAAGCGGCGAUGGCGCGCGCCCGCGCGUCCGAUCGCACGUACGUGAUCUGCAUCGACACCGAUCCCGCCCGUACGACGCCCGACGGCGGCUGGUGGUGGGAAGUCGCGGUGCCCGAAGUGUCGCCGCGCGACGCGGUGCGCGACGCGCGCGCGGAUUACGAGCGGCACCUCGCCGCGCGCGCGGGCGCUCCCGCCUCUCGUUCAACCCCCUCUACUCCGGAAUCAUCGACAUGAGCGCACCCGACAUCCGUAUCGGCAUCAACCCGCUGUCGUGGAUGAACGACGAUCUGCCGUCGCUCGGCGGCGAGACGCCGCUCGCCGUCGCGCUGACCGAGGGCCGCGAGAUCGGCUACGAGGGCUUCGAGCUCGGCAACAAGUUUCCGCGCGAGCCGCAGGCGCUGAAGGCGCUCCUCGCGCAGUACGACCUGUCGCUCGUGUCCGGCUGGUAUUCGGGCCG